AAGUGAGAAUGCCGGUGUGAGUAGCGAAAGACGGGUGAGAAUCCCGUCCACCGAUUGACUAAGGUUUCCAGAGGAAGGCUCGUCCGCUCUGGGUUAGUCGGGUCCUAAGCUGAGGCCGACAGGCGUAGGCGAUGGAUAACAGGUUGAUAUUCCUGUACCACCUAUAAUCGUUUUAAUCGAUGGGGGGACGCAGUAGGAUAGGCGAAGCGUGCGAUUGGAUUGCACGUCUAAGCAGUAAGGCUGAGUAUUAGGCAAAUCCGGUACUCGUUAAGGCUGAGCUGUGAUGGGGAGAAGACAUUGUGUCUUCGAGUCGUUGAUUUCACACUGCCGAGAAAAGCCUCUAGAUAGAAAAUAGGUGCCCGUACCGCAAACCGACACAGGUAGUCAAGAUGAGAAUUCUAAGGUGAGCGAGCGAACUCUCGUUAAGGAACUCGGCAAAAUGACCCCGUAACUUCGGGAGAAGGGGUGCUCUUUAGGGUUAACGCCCAGAAGAGCCGCAGUGAAUAGGCCCAAGCGACUGUUUAUCAAAAACACAGGUCUCUGCUAAACCGUAAGGUGAUGUAUAGGGGCUGACGCCUGCCCGGUGCUGGAAGGUUAAGAGGAGUGGUUAGCUUCUGCGAAGCUACGAAUCGAAGCCCCAGUAAACGGCGGCCGUAACUAUAACGGUCCUAAGGUAGCGAAAUUCCUUGUCGGGUAAGUUCCGACCCGCACGAAAGGCGUAACGAUUUGGGCACUGUCUCAACGAGAGACUCGGUGAAAUCAUAGUACCUGUGAAGAUGCAGGUUACCCGCGACAGGACGGAAAGACCCCGUGGAGCUUUACUGUAGCCUGAUAUUGAAAUUCGGCACAGCUUGUACAGGAUAGGUAGGAGCCUUUGAAACGUGAGCGCUAGCUUACGUGGAGGCGCUGGUGGGAUACUACCCUAGCUGUGUUGGCUUUCUAACCCGCACCACUUAUCGUGGUGGGAGACAGUGUCAGGCGGGCAGUUUGACUGGGGCGGUCGCCUCCUAAAAGGUAACGGAGGCGCUCAAAGGUUCCCUCAGAAUGGUUGGAAAUCAUUCAUAGAGUGUAAAGGCAUAAGGGAGCUUGACUGCGAGACCUACAAGUCGAGCAGGGUCGAAAGACGGACUUAGUGAUCCGGUGGUUCCGCAUGGAAGGGCCAUCGCUCAACGGAUAAAAGCUACCCCGGGGAUAACAGGCUUAUCUCCCCCAAGAGUUCACAUCGACGGGGAGGUUUGGCACCUCGAUGUCGGCUCAUCGCAUCCUGGGGCUGUAGUCGGUCCCAAGGGUUGGGCUGUUCGCCCAUUAAAGCGGUACGCGAGCUGGGUUCAGAACGUCGUGAGACAGUUCGGUCCCUAUCCGUCGUGGGCGUAGGAAAUUUGAGAGG
rnacentral:rRNA from 1 species